ensembl:lncRNA
CGACAACCAGACCAACACGCCAGAAAAGGGCUGUUACUGUAAUAGAACAGAAAUUGUGUAAAAGACAAGUCUGGGCAUAUAUUUAUUUUAUUUUUAAAAAUGUGUCAAUUUUCACUGUGGUCUUUUAUACUACAUACAGAACCAUGUAAACAAUGUGUUGACUAAACUAUUUAUAACAUUAACAUUUUAAUGACCUACCUUGCCCUUCUGAGUUCUGUAUAUACAGGUCAAAGUUCCAUGAUGUUAUUCAAUUAGAACCCAUUCAAUUUAAACACCCAUGACCAUCACUCCUCAUCAGCUGCAUCAAAGUGGUACUGAAGGUUCAGUGUUCUAGACUAGAGCACCUAUGGGUGGUCCUGGGAACCAAACCCAUAACGUUGCAGGUGCCAUGUUCUACCAACUGAGCUACAGAGGAACAUGUUUUGUAAAGUCUAAUGUGUAUAUACAGAUUUCUGAUAUGAGUCGGGACGUCUGUCAGGGGACAGACAGGAAAGUAGAAGAGGGAAGUGAUACUGAGUGUGUGCAUUUAAACCAACAAAAUACUUUAUACUAAACACAGGUUAAUACUACUCCUAUACACAACCCACCAUCACUGUGUUUAGGUUAAUACUACUCCUAUACACAACCCACCAUCACUGUGUUUAGGUUAAUACUACUCCUAAACACAACCCACCAUCACUGUGUUUAGGUUAAUACUACUCCUACACACAACCCACCAUCACUGUGUUUAGGUUAAUACUACUCCUAAACACAACCCACCAUCACUGUGUUUAGGUUAAUACUACUCCUACACAACCCACCAUCACUGUGUCUCAUGUUAAUACUACUCCUAAACACAACCCACCAUCACUGUGUUUUAGGUUAAUACUACUCCUAAACACAACCCACCAUCACUGUGU